CGCUAAAAAUCCCCAAUCAGACACCAGCAUACUAUUGAUAGGGCUUGUCAUCCGGGAGGGGCCUCCAGUUCUCAGAACAGAGCCUGGCCAGUUGUGCCCGAGGAAUAGGGGCUGGCAUUUUUACAGCAAUACUUUCAGCUGACAUAGGAGCGAAGACAUUGCCCAUCUGGAUCCUGUUUUCGCUCUCUCCUCAAGGGUCCUAGCGGCCUGCUGAAAUUCUUGGCCAGGGUAGAACAUUUUUCACAGUAAGUCCAGGGCUUACUGGGUAGCCUCUAGAGGUCUUCGUGACGACUUGGACAUUCUAGCCUGGCUGAUUUCCUUUUUGGUUGACGCGGUAAGGACACCAGCAAACUUCCAGAAUAUGGGCAACAAUAUGUCUUUAAACGUAUCCCUGGAUACACUACUGAGAUGUCUCCUGGAAAAUCUUAAGUCUUUGAAGGCAUCGAGAUUGAUAUUCCUUUGCAAUAAGGUCUGGACUCGGUACUUACUAGACAAUGGUUCCAAAUGGCCACUUAAUGGCACCGUAGACCCGGUUGUUUUAAAGGAUCUAAAUACAUACUGCCAGCGAACCGGUAAAUGGGAAGAGGUUAUCUAUGUAAAAUCUUUAAUUCAUCUUCGUUCCAAUUCUACUAUGUGCUCUUCCUGUUCUCCAACUCAACUCCUAUUAGCCAUGAAUCCUGCACAAUUCACACUAGACAAUACUACAAUAUUGGACCCAGAAUAUGAACCACCCCUUUUUCGCCGUAGACCUGUUUCUGCGCCACUAAGAACCCAAACUGCUACCCCAGUUUUUCCUUACCGAGAUUCCCCAGAGCCUGCCACCCCCAGCUCUCCUCCUCCUGCGCCAACCGCAGGUCCCCCCAAACAUUCCACCUUGGCACCUACUUUCACACCACCUAUCACUCGCUCUAAGGCCACGACCAAAACCCCACGCUCUCCA
rnacentral:lncRNA from 1 species